rnacentral:rRNA from 1 species
CCCGCUGAACUUAAGCAUAUCAAUAAAGCGGAGGAAAAGAAACUAACAAGGAUUCCCCUAGUAACGGCGAGUGAAGCGGGAAGAGCUCAAAUUUGUAAUCUGGCACCUUCGGUGUCCGAGUUGUAAUCUCGAGAAGUGUUUUCCGCGCCGGACCGCAUACAAGUCUGUUGGAAUACAGCGUCAUAGUGGUGAGAACCCCGUACCUAAUGCGGAUGCCCGGUGCUUUGUGAUACACUUUCGAAGAGUCGAGUUGUUUGGGAAUGCAGCUCAAAUUGGGUGGUAAAUUCCAUCUAAAGCUAAAUAUUGGCGAGAGACCGAUAGCGAACAAGUACCGUGAGGGAAAGAUGAAAAGCACUUUGGAAAGAGAGUUAACAGUACGUGAAAUUGUUGGAAGGGAAACGCUUGAAGUCAGACUUGCUAUUCGGAAUUCAGCCGCAAGGUGUACUUUUCGAUUUGCAGGCCAGCAUCAGUUUUUGGGGAUGGAAAAGGGCCGGAGGAAGGUAGCAAUUUAGGUUGUGUUAUAGCCUUCGGCUGGAUUCAUCUUUGGGGACUGAGGAACGCAGCGCGCUUUUUGCAAGGCUCUCGAGCUUUCCGCGCUUAGGAUGCUGGUGGAAUGGCUUUAAACGACCCGUCUUGAAACACGG